rnacentral:rRNA from 1 species
CCUACGGGGGGCAGCAGUGGGGAAUAUUGCACAAUGGGGGAAACCCUGAUGCAGCGACGCCGCGUGAGCGAUGAAGUAUUUCGGUAUGUAAAGCUCUAUCAGCAGGGAAGAAAAUGACGGUACCUGACUAAGAAGCCCCGGCUAACUACGGGCCAGCAGCCGCGGUACUACGUAGGGGGCAAGCGUUAUCCGGCUUUACUGGGUGUAAAGGGAGCGUAGACGGCGAUGCAAGCCAGAUGUGAAAGCCCGGGGCUCAACCCCGGGACUGCAUUUGGAACUGGAGAGCUGGAGUGUCGGAGAGGCAGGCGGAAUUCCUAGUGUAGCGGUGAAAUGCGUAGAUAUUAGGAGGAACACCAGUGGCGAAGGCGGCCUGCUGGACGAUGACUGACGUUGAGGCUCGAAAGCGUGGGGAGCAAACAGGAUUAGAUACCCCAGUAGUC